rnacentral:rRNA from 1 species
GAUGAACGCUAGCGGCAGGCUUAAUACAUGCAAGUCGAGGGGCAACAGGGGUAGCAAUACCUGCUGGCGACCGGCAAACGGGUGCGGAACACGUACAGAACCUUCCUUUAAGCGGGGGAUAGCCCAUAGAAAUGUGGAUUAAUACCCCAUAGUAAUAUUUGGUGGCAUCAUUAGAUAUUUAAAGAUUUAUCACUUAAAGAUGGCUGUGCGUCUGAUUAGGUAGUUGGUGCGGGUAACGGCCCACCAAGCCAUCGAUCAGUAACUGGUGUGAGAGCACGACCAGUCACACGGGCACUGAGACACGGGCCCGACUCCUACGGGAGGCAGCAGUAAGGAAUAUUGGUCAAUGGACGCAAGUCUGAACCAGCCAUGCCGCGUGAAGGAUGAAGGCCCUCUGGGUUGUAAACUUC